UGGCCCUGCCUCGUCCCUGGUCUCUCACGGGUUGUUUUCUUCCCACAGGUGGGAAAGGAGGGAGCUACGCUCAGGCUGCCAGCAGUGACAGCGGCCAGGGCUCUGAUGUGUCUCUCUCGGCUUCUAAAGCGUGAGGCAGCUGCCUUGUGGGGACUAAGUGAUGGAAGAUGUUCACGCUCCCACUUCCUGACUC